CGUUUUCUUGGUGGUCAGGGCUACUUCCAGAAACCACUUACGGUGCACUGAUGAAAAGGCCAAUUUUUUGAGUAAACAUCCUAAUAAGCAGGUCUUGACAGAUGGUUUGUUGCUCAAGCCCCACAUAACCCUACAGCUGGUGUCAGUAUCUCCCACAGAUGUUCCCCAGGAGAACUUCCCCACAGCGUGCUCAGGAGCUCUCAGCUUUCACAGCACGCCCAGCUGCAUCCCAAGGAGGAGCCUCGGCGCUUGCUCGACACAUUGGAGUGUUCCUGGUGGGCUAUACACGAUACACAGUUCUCUGCCUCUGACCCGAGAGCAGCUGAAACAGGACUGAUGUGCAAAGGCUGCUGUUGAGAGGUGCAGUAUCUUCAGCUAUCUUUUGAAGACAGAGACAACGCGUUCCCCUGCGCUUCGCAGCAUGGGUCUUCUGGGAGUCAAAGCAGCACUCAUCUUUGCUAUUGAGCCCUCUGUCAGCAUUCACACUCUUGAAGUGGUGUCGAGGAGGGAGGAUACAGGAACUUGGCAGUGACGAAUGAAGGAUGCUGGCAGGUUAUUCUGAUCCUUAGAAAAUCAUUGUGUUCUCCUCAUUACACUACACCUCAUCCACCUACUCUGUCUUGUCCUAUAGACUAUAAAUUCUCCAUAUUAAAUUAAUUCCCCAAGUUCUCUAUUUGUUUUCACAGCCUCUAGCUGAGUUUCCUAGGUGCUACCCUAAUAUAAACAAUAAUAAAGACUGCUCUG